AUGGGCUGGGAGCUCGUUCGCCAGGAUGGGGACAGGGUGGGAGCGCGGUGCGGGAUUGGGGGGAAAAUUCGCCGCCGCCGCCGCUCCUCUCCUCGUUCACCUUGUUGUGGAGCAUACAUUCUCGAUCAUAUGUCCCGCGGGCAUUCUGUUAACUUGCAGGAUAUACUCACUAACUCACACAGUGCAAUGAAACAUAAGAUGAUUCGUCUGGGAGACUGUAAUUAA
rnacentral:rRNA from 1 species